rnacentral:rRNA from 1 species
UACGAAGGGGACUAGCGUUGUUCGGAAUCACUGGGCGUAAAGCGCACGUAGGCGGAUUGUUAAGUCAGGGGUGAAAUCCUGGAGCUCAACUCCAGAACUGCCUUUGAUACUGGCGAUCUCGAGUCCGGGAGAGGUGAGUGGAACUGCGAGUGUAGAGGUGAAAUUCGUAGAUAUUCGCAAGAACACCAGUGGCGAAGGCGGCUCACUGGCCCGGUACUGGACGCUGAGGCACGAAAGCGUGGGGAGCAAACAGGG